GACGAACGCUGGCGGCGUGCUUAACACAUGCAAGUCGAACGGAAAGGCCCUGCUUUUGUGGGGUGCUCGAGUGGCGAACGGGUGAGUAACACGUGAGUAACCUGCCCUUGACUUUGGGAUAACUUCAGGAAACUGGGGCUAAUACCGGAUAGGAGCUCCUGCUGCAUGGUGGGGGUUGGAAAGUUUCGGUGGUUGGGGAUGGACUCGCGGCUUAUCAGCUUGUUGGUGUGGUAGUGGCUUACCAAGGCUUUGACGGGUAGCCGGCCUGGGAGGGUGACCGGCCACAUUGGGACUGAGAUACGGCCCAGACUCCUACGGGAGGCAGCAGUGGGGAAUAUUGCACAAUGGGCGGAAGCCUGAUGCAGCAACGCCGCGUGCGGGAUGACGGCCUUCGGGUUGUAAACCGCUUUCGCCUGUGACGAAGCGUGAGUGACGGUAAUGGGUAAAGAAGCACCGGCUAACUACGUG
rnacentral:rRNA from 1 species